rnacentral:rRNA from 1 species
AACAUAGCCUUUAGCCACCAUAGUAUUAAAGGUAACGCCUGCCCAGUGAAAACUUUAAACGGCCGCGGUAUCCUAACCGUGCAAAGGUAGCGUAAUAACUUGUCUUUUAAAUAAAGACUAGCAUGAAUGGCUAAAUGAGGACCUAACUGUCUUCUAAGACCAAUCUAUGAACCUGAUCUUUCAGUACAAAAGCUGAAAUUACAACAUAAGACGAGAAGACCCUGCGGAGCUUUAAAAACUCCACUUUUUAAGUUGGGGCGACUACGGAAAUAAAAAAAACCUCCACGACAGGGCUGACAACCCAAAAAAGGAAUCACACGCCAACCAAGCUGACCAACGAACCAAGUUACCCCAGGGAUAACAGCGCCAUCCUCUUCAAGAGCCCCUAUCGCCAAGAGGGUUUACGACCUCGAUGUUGGAUCAGGACCCCCUAGUGGCGCAGCCGCUACUAAAGGUUCGUUUGUUCAACGACUAAUGUCCUACGUGAUCUGAGUUCAGACCGGAGCAAUCCAGGUCGGUUU